CCUUUGACGUUAGCGGCGGACGGGUGAGUAACACGUGGGUAACCUACCUAUAAGACUGGGAUAACUUCGGGAAACCGGAGCUAAUACCGGAUAAUAUUUCGAACCGCAUGGUUUGAUAGUGAAAGAUGGUUUUGCUAUCACUUAUAGAUGGACCCGCGCCGUAUUAGCUAGUUGGUAAGGUAACGGCUUACCAAGGCGACGAUACGUAGCCGACCUGAGAGGGUGAUCGGCCACACUGGAACUGAGACACGGUCCAGACUCCUACGGGAGGCAGCAGAC
rnacentral:rRNA from 1 species